ACCCACGAGCAGAUCCCCAGUGUGCUGUGGCACCCUGGACACAGGCAGGUGGAGGGCAUGUGAGUGUACAAUAUUGAUAUCCUCAGUUUGCCCUGCCUGGGGGAAAACCUCCAAAAGGUCUCUGGUUCAGUCGAGCUCCUGAGACCUACUGUGAACUUAGCAGUCUGUGGUGGGGAACUGAUCUGUCACAACACAUGAGGAUAAGCCCCAUCUGUGCUCCCUGAAGCCAUCAGUUUGGGAGCUGCUCUAAGCUAGUAGGGUUCUGCUUCCCUGCUCUGGGAGUUGUCCAAGAGCAUGAUCAAUCACUGAAUGAACCCAGGGAGGUGGUCACAGCAAGAAGCCUGAGAGAGUUCAAGAGAAGAGCCUUGGACAGCUUGGACCAUGCUCUCAGGCACAUGGUGUGAGUCCUGGGGCUGUCCUGUGCAGAGCCAGGAGCAGACUCAAUGAUUCCCAUUGAUCCAUUCCUGCUCAAUGCGUUCUAUGAUUUCGUGAAAUAAAUGUUAACCCUGAUCCAGCUGAAA